rnacentral:rRNA from 1 species
GAUGAACGCUAGCUACAGGCUUAACACAUGCAAGUCGAGGGGAAACGAUAUUGGAAGCUUGCUUCCGAUAGGCGUCGACCGGCGCACGGGUGAGUAACGCGUAUCCAACCUGCCCACCACUUGGGGGAUAACCUUGCGAAAGUAAGACUAAUACCCAAUGAUAUCCCACGAAGGCAUCCGAAUGGGAUUAAAGAUUUAUCGGUGAUGGAUGGGGAUGCGUCUGAUUAGCUUGUUGGCGGGGUAACGGCCCACCAAGGCAACGAUCAGUAGGGGUUCUGAGAGGAAGGUCCCCCCACAUUGGAACUGAGACACGGGUCCAAACUCCUACGGGAGGCAGCAGUGAGGAAUAUUGGUCAAUGGGCGAGAGUCUGAACCAGCCAAGUAGCGUGCAGGAUGACGGCCCUAUGGGUUGUAAACUGCUUUUAUAAGGGAAUAAAGUUAGUCUCGUGAGACUUUUUGCAUGUACCUUAUGAAUAAGG